CCGGGGCCGCACGCGCGCUACAUUGAAGGAAUCAGCGUGUGAUUUCCCGGUCCGGCAGGACUGGGUAACCCGUUGAACCUCCUUCGKGCUGGGGAUARAACCUUGUAAAUAGUUCUUGAACGAGGAAUACCCAGUAAGCGCGAGUCAUCAGCUCGCGUUGAUUAAGUCCCUGCCCUUUGCACACACCGCCCGUCGCUACUACCGAUUGAAUGAUUAAGUGAKGUCUUCGGACUGGCGCUCGGAUUGGCCUUCGGGUCGAGCCGAAGUGCCGGAAAGAUGACCGAACUUGAUUAUUUAGAGAUAGUAAAAGUCGUAACAAGGUUACC
rnacentral:rRNA from 1 species